rnacentral:rRNA from 1 species
AUUGAACGCUGGCGGCAUGCCUUACACAUGCAAGUCGAACGGCAGCACGGACUUCGGUCUGGUGGCGAGUGGCGAACGGGUGAGUAAUGUAUCGGAACGUACCUUUCAGUGGGGGAUAACGUAGCGAAAGUUACGCUAAUACCGCAUAUUCUGUGAGCAGGAAAGCAGGGGAUCGCAAGACCUUGCGCUGAUUGAGAGGCCGAUAUCAGAUUAGCUAGUUGGUGGGGUAAAGGCCUACCAAGGCCACGAUCUGUAGCGGGUCUGAGAGGAUGAUCCGCCACACUGGAACUGAGACACGGUCCAGACUCCUACGGGAGGCAGCAGUGGGGAAUUUUGGACAAUGGGCGCAAGCCUGAUCCAGCCAUGCCGCGUGAGUGAAGAAGGCCUUCGGGUUGUAAAGCUCUUUCGGCCGGGAAGAAAUCGCAUGGGUUAAUACCCUGUGCGGAUGACGGUACCGGCAUAAGAAGCACCGGCUAACUACGUGCCAGCAGCCGCGGUAACAC